GAUGAACGCUGGCGGCGUGCCUAAUACAUGCAAGUCGAGCGAACGGACGAGAAGCUUGCUUCUCUGAUGUUAGCGGCGGACGGGUGAGUAACACGUGGAUAACCUACCUAUAAGACUGGGAUAACUUCGGGAAACCGGAGCUAAUACCGGAUGAUAUUUUGAGCCGCAUGGUUCAAAAGUGAAAGACGGUCUUGCUGUCACUUAUAGAUGGAUCCGCGCUGCAUUAGCUAGUUGGUAAGGUAACGGCUUACCAAGGCAACGAUGCAUAGCCGACCUGAGAGGGUGAUCGGCCACACUGGAACUGAGACACGGUCCAGACUCCUACGGGAGGCAGCAGUAGGGAAUCUUCCGCAAUGGGCGAAAGCUUGACGGAGCAACGCCGCGUGAGUGAUGAAGGUCUUCGGAUCGUAAAACUCCGUUAUUAGGGAAGAACAUAUGUGUAAGUAACUGUGCACAUCUUGACGGUACCUAAUCAGAAAGCCACGGCUAACUACGUG
rnacentral:rRNA from 1 species